CAGUCGCCGCGGGAAUACGGAGGGGGCUAGCGUUGUUCGGAAUUACUGGGCGUAAAGCGUACGUAGGCGGAUGUUUAAGUCAGAGGUGAAAGCCCAGGGCUCAACCUUGGAACUGCCUUUGAUACUGGACAUCUUGAGUAUGGGAGAGGUGAGUGGAACUCCGAGUGUAGAGGUGAAAUUCGUAGAUAUUCGGAAGAACACCAGUGGCGAAGGCGACUCACUGGCCCAUUACUGACGCUGAGGCGCGAAAGCGUGGGGAGCAAACAGGAUUAGAUACCCGAGUAGUCCCUGUCUCUUAUAC
rnacentral:rRNA from 1 species